UACGGGGGGGGCAAGCGUUGUUCGGAAUUACUGGGCGUAAAGGGCUCGUAGGCGGCCAACUAAGUCAGACGUGAAAUCCCCAGGCUCAACCUGGGAACUGCGUCUGAUACUGGUUGGCUUGAAUCCGGGAGAGGGAUGCAGAAUUCCAGGUGUAGCGGUGAAAUGCGUAGAUAUCUGGAGGAAUACCGGUGGCGAAGGCGGCAUCCUGGACCGGCAUUGACGCUGAGGAGCGAAAGCUAGGGGAGCAAACAGG
rnacentral:rRNA from 1 species